AAGUAUCCAUGCACCUUACAUCGUCUACAAGCCUCUAAGAGUACAUAACAUCAUAAAGGUCGGGACAAAGCCCCAUCCUACCAAUAAAUACAUAUCCAAAUAUUAUUAACCAAAUAGGCAACUCCGGAGCAAGUGUAGUACACCAACACCUUUGCUAAGCUUAUAGCCUAACAAGAGGAAUGUCAACCUGUCUAUCGAGACCUGCGGGCAUGAAACUCACGUCCCCAGGCAAAAGGGACGUCAGUACGAAUAAAGUACCGAGCAUGUAAGACAGGAAAGCAUAAAUAAGAACUGUAAUGUAAAGAGAGAUAGAAGAAAUACAACAUGUAACAUCUUAGUGCCUCUGGGGGCUACUAACAUGAAAUGUAUAAUACAUAUAUAUACAUAAACUUUUAAAAACAUAUGCCUCUGUGGGCAUCAUCAUCAUCAUAUCGUACCUAGCCUCAAAGAGGACUCGGUAAAAAUGUACCCGGCAAUCAUAAGGCUCGGUAGAAUCAUACACGGCCACGUAGAGCUUGGUAAACCCAACUGAUCAGUGGUUGCACAAUAGGUGGCCUACCCGGCCGACUAUAGCGCGGCUUAGUAGAGUAAAAUAGAUACAUAUAGUGUGGUAUUUCUACAAGCGGACCGGCCCCACUAUAUGCUCCAAGAUGUGUACAAUCGAUACAUUCUUGAAUGUUUUAUUCUCGAUCGACUUAUUAGUAUUUUGUUCGGAUACUUCAUCGAUAGAUCAAUUGAAAAUUCAAUAUUAAGUUGUAUCCAACUUAAUAUAAAUUAUAUCCAAAUUUAUUUUGUAUCCAAUUAUAUUAAGUUGUUACUAAAACUUAAAUAUAAAUAUAGCACUACAUCUUAUCAAACUAAGUCGUGCUGGUUGUGGUCGGUAAUAUAUAUAUAUACAAAAAAAAUUAAAUUUAUAUUAUGUAGUAUGUAUAAUUAGAUCAAUUUUUUUAAUCUAACAUUAAAUUAACGACCAACUUUGGUUGGUAUUUAAAUUAAAUAAUGUUUUUAACUUAACAUUAAAUUACCGAUUGAAUUCAGUUGGAAUGGUCGCCCGUACCCCACCAAAAAUCAACUUCUAUCUCCCUCCUAACCCAAAAACAAAACACUUAGAAGUCCCCCUCCUUUCCCCCACUACUGUUCCGCCAGCCACAUUUCCUUCUGCCACCCUUUAACACUAUUCCCCCGGUGUUACAACGAACCACCAGCAAACCACCAUUACAUUAUGUGGUGUUUAUACACACCAUUUCUCUUCUCAACUCCAUAAAAAUAAUACCAAAAGUUACUAUCUAAUAGCAACAUGAAACGGCCCAUAAAGCAGCCCACAACAAGUCGAAUAAUUCGAACUCACAGCUAAUAGAAAUGAAUUUAUCAAACUUCCUUCAUAUUUAAACGCUUAAAUAUAGAAAUAAAUCAUUUUCCUUACUAUUAAAUACCUUCCAAAACUCAAACUACAGAGAAAAAGAGAGGCAAUAUAGUGAUACUUACGUCAUAGGGAUCAUUUUAAUGUUAUCGCUACUUGAUUUCGUGCCCCGGAUGAUAAUCUUGUUGGAAACCCUUGUGGAAAGCUUGAAGGGAAGGUUAGGAGUCUUAUUUGGUUGAGC
rnacentral:lncRNA from 1 species